rnacentral:rRNA from 1 species
UACGUAGGGUGCAAGCGUUAUCCGGAAUUAUUGGGCGUAAAGAGCUCGUAGGCGGUUUGUCGCGUCUGCUGUGAAAACUGGAGGCUCAACCUCCAGCCUGCAGUGGGUACGGGCAAACUAGAGUGCGGUAGGGGAGAAUGGAAUUCCUGGUGUAGCGGUGGAAUGCGCAGAUAUCAGGAGGAACACCGAUGGCGAAGGCAGUUCUCUGGGCCGUAACUGACGCUGAGGAGCGAAAGCGUGGGGAGCGAACAGG